rnacentral:rRNA from 1 species
CAGUCGCCGCGGUAAUACAGAGGGUGCGAGCGUUAAUCGGAUUUACUGGGCGUAAAGCGUGCGUAGGCGGCUUCUUAAGUCGGAUGUGAAAUCCCUGAGCUUAACUUAGGAAUUGCACUCGAUACUGGGAAGCUAGAGUAUGGGAGAGGAUGGUAGAAUUCCGCGUGUAGCAGUGAAAUGCGUAGAUAUGCGGAGGAACACCGAUGGCGAAGGCAGCCCCCUGGGCCAAUACUGACGCUCAUGCACGAAAGCGUGGGGAGCAAACAGGAUUAGAUACCCGCGUAGUCCCUGUCUCUUAUAC